CCUACGGGCGGCAGCAGUAGGGAAUCUUCCACAAUGGGCGAAAGCCUGAUGGAGCAACGCCGCGUGGGUGAAGAAGGUCUUCGGAUCGUAAAACCCUGUUGUUAGAGAAGAAAGGGCGGGAGAGUAACUGUUCACGUUUCGACGGUAUCUAACCAGAAAGCCACGGCUAACUACGUGCCAGCAGCCGCGGUAAUACGUAGGUGGCAAGCGUUAUCCGGAGUUAUUGGGCGUAAAGGGAACGCAGGCGGUCUUUUAAGGCUGAUGUGAAGGCCUUCGGCUUAACCGGGGUAGUGCAUUGGAAACUGGGAGACUUGAGUGCAGAAGAGGAGAGUGGAACUCCAUGUGUAGCGGUGAAAUGCGUAGAUAUAUGGAAGAACACCAGUGGCGAAAGCGGCUCUCCGGUCUGUAACUGACGCUGAGGUGCGAAAGCGUGGGUAGCAAACAGGAUUAGAUACCCGGGUAGUC
rnacentral:rRNA from 1 species